CAGCACCUCAAGUGGUCAGGAUGAUUAUUGGGCCUAAAGCAUCCGUAGCCGGCUCUGUAAGUUUUCGGUUAAAUCUGUACGCUCAACGUACAGGCUGCCGGGAAUACUGCAGAGCUAGGGAGUGGGAGAGGUAGACGGUACUCGGUAGGAAGGGGUAAAAUCCUUUGAUCUAUUGAUGACCACCUGUGGCGAAGGCGGUCUACCAGAACACGUCCGACGGUGAGGGAUGAAAGCUGGGGGAGCAUACCGGAUUAGAUACCCGCGUAGUCC
rnacentral:rRNA from 1 species